rnacentral:sRNA from 1 species
UGAUUGCCAAUACCUAUGACAUUAAGU